rnacentral:rRNA from 1 species
GAACGCGAAGAACCUUACCCGGGCUUGAAUUGCAGAGGAAGGAUUUAGAGAUAAUGACGCCCUUCGGGGUCUCUGUGAAGGUGCUGCAUGGUUGUCGUCAGCUCGUGCCGUGAGGUGUCGGCUUAAGUGCCAUAACGAGCGCAACCCCUCUCUUCAGUUGCCAUCAGGUUAAGCUGGGCACUCUGGAGACACUGCCACCGUAAGGUGUGAGGAAGUGGGGAUGACGUCAAAUCAGCACGGCCCUUACGUCCGGGGCUACACACGUGUUACAAUGGCCGGUACAGAGGGAUGGUGUAAUGCAAAUUGCAUCAAAUCUUGAAAGCCGGUCCCAGUUCGGACUGGGGUCUGCAACCCGACCCCACGAAGCUGGAUUCGCUAGUAAUCGCGCAUCAGCCAUGGCGCGGUGAAUACGUUCCCGGGUCUUGUACACACC